UAAGGAAUAUUGGUCAAUGGACGAAAGUCUGAACCAGCCAUGCCGCGUGGAGGAUGAAGGUCCUCUGGAUUGUAAACUUCUUUUAUCUGGGACGAAAAAAGGUCUUUCUAGAUCGUCUGACGGUACCAGAUGAAUAAGCACCGGCUAACUCCGUGCCAGCAGCCGCGGUAAUACGGAGGGUGCAAGCGUUAUCCGGAUUCACUGGGUUUAAAGGGUGCGUAGGUGGGUUGGUAAGUCAGUGGUGAAAUCUUCGAGCUUAACUCGGAAACUGCCAUUGAGACUAUCAGUCUUGAAUAUUGUGUAGGUUAGCGGAAUAUGUCAUGGAGCGGUGAAAUGCUUAGAUAUGACAUAGAACACCAAUUGCGAAGGCAGCUGGCUACACAUAUAUUGACACUGAGGCACGAAAGCGUGGGGAUCAAACA
rnacentral:rRNA from 1 species